rnacentral:rRNA from 1 species
GCCCCUUAUGUGCAGGGUUUCACCCAUGCUACAAUGGCUGGUACAGAGGGCUGCGAUACCGCGAGGUGGAGCGAAUCCCUUAAAGCCGGUCUCAGUUCGGAUCGCAGUCUGCAACUCGACUGCGUGAAGUCGGAGUCGCUAGUAAUCGCAGAUCAGCAACGCUGCGGUGAAUACGUUCCCGGGCCUUGUACACACCGCCCGUCACGUCAUGAAAGUCGGUAACACCCGAAGCCCAUGGCCCAACCCGUA